rnacentral:rRNA from 1 species
GACGAACCGAGCGAACGUUGUUCGGAAUUACUGGGCUUAAAGGGCGCGUAGGCGGGCCGCCAAGUUCGAGGUGAAAUCCUCCGGCUCAACCGGAGAACUGCCUCGAAUACUGGAGGCCUCGAGGCGGGUAGGGGCGUGCGGAACUGUGGGUGGAGCGGUGAAAUGCGUUGAUAUCCCCAGGAACUCCGGUGGCGAAGGCGGCACGCUGGACCCGAUCUGACGCUGAGGCGCGAAAGCCAGGGGAGCAAACGGG